UUCCGGGCAGGCGGUUGGGCUCCCCCAGGGGCAGGAAAGCAAGGCACCAGCAUCCUGUGACCCAGGAACAGACCCAUGUCCCGAAGAUGCCUCCAGUAAUCCCAGCGGGCAGGGGCCGACCGAUUCCAGGCGGGAUGGGGUGGGGGCAUCCUGUGCUGAGGAGCCAAUGCAAGCCGCUUAGCCCCUCUUGUCUCCCCACUAGCCCCCAGGCCACCUGAGGCCUCCUCCAGUCCCCCUGAGGGUUCCCAAGACAGGAGCACAAGUUGGGGUGUGGUCCAGGUGAGACCCAGGCCCGAGCUGGUAGCCAGCGUGAAGGCUGCCCAGGGUGGGGUAGAGGAGGUGGGCACAGAUGUGUGGGGAGGCUGGGGGCAGCUGUGAUCUCCCCCGCCUGCAGGAGCCUCCUGGAAGAGCCUCUCGGUUUCUACAGUCCAUAUCCUGGGACCCUGAGGACUUUGAAGAUGCAUGGAAGAGGCCAGAUGCCUUGCCCGGGCAGUCAAAGAGACUCGCCGUCCCGUGCAAACUGGAAAAGAUGCGGAUCUUGGCACACGGGGAGCUCGUGCUCGCCAUGGCCAUCAGCAGCUUCACGCGGCACGUGUUCACCUGUGGCAGAAGAGGCAUCAAGGUGUGGAGCCUGACUGGACAGGUGGCUGAGGACAGGUUCCCUGAGAGCCACCUGCCUAUACAGACCCCUGGGGCCUUCCUGCGCACCUGCCUGCUGUCCUCAAACAGCAGGAGCCUGCUCAGCGGUGGCUACAACCUGGCCAGCGUGAGCGUGUGGGACCUGGCGGCGCCCUCCCUGCAUGUGAAGGAGCAGUUGCCCUGUGCAGGUCUCAACUGCCAGGCCCUGGACGCCAACCUGGAUGCCAACCUGGCCUUCGCCAGCUUCACCAAUGGUGUGGUCAGGAUCUGGGACCUGCGGGAUCAGAGUGUGGUCAGGGACCUCAAGGGUUAUCCUGAUGGAGUCAAGAGUAUCGUGGUCAAGGGCUACAACAUCUGGACUGGGGGUCCGGAUGCCUGUCUGCGGUGCUGGGACCAGAGGACCAUCAUGAAACCUCUGGAGUACCAAUUCAAGUCUCAGAUAAUGAGCCUGUCCCACAGCCCCCAGGAGGACUGGGUGCUGCUGGGCAUGGCCAAUGGCCAGCAGUGGCUGCAAAGCACCAGCGGGAGCCAGCGGCACAUGGUGGGGCAAAAAGACAGCGUCAUCCUGAGCGUCAAGUUCUCCCCCUUUGGCCAGUGGUGGGCAAGCGUUGGAAUGGACGACUUCCUUGGCGUCUACAGCAUGCCGGCGGGGACAAAAGUGUUCGAGGUGCCCGAGACGUCCCCAGUCACGUGCUGUGAUGUCUCUUCCAACAACCGCCUCGUUGUCACAGGCUCCGGGGAUCACGCCUCCGUGUACCAGAUCACCUACUGAGGGGCCUCGCUGCUGUCAUCCCACUCCGGCUCCUCUUUUCAUCCCCCCCCUUUUUUUUUUUACCCCCCCAACCAGGGGGUCAUGGUGGAGGGAAGCGGGAAGGCUCUUAUAUGGCAUCGCACAAUCUAGUCUGUGGUGUAGACUGGUCGCCAUC
rnacentral:sRNA from 1 species